rnacentral:misc_RNA from 1 species
UCUGACGUGCCGUGACAUCGCUACCUACUUCGGUUCAGCGGCUGCGAUUUCGAUCCGCGCCGGUCGAUCGCGGGUGCGUGAGCGCAGUCACCUGCCGCGAACACCGACCGCCGCACGUCGCGCCCGCGAGAUGCCGCCAAUUGCGCCUAAACGAUCUAUUCUGUUCACUUUUUGAAUUGACGAAUUUAGGCGCCAAAUGUUUUAAUUCCUUUUUGGUGGACUGUGUUCUUGUGAUUAUUUUGUGUGCGACUUAUUUUACUUGGAGGCCUUUUGGACAUGGUUUAACUUUUGUUGUUGUAUGUUCGUUCGCUAUAGACAUGCUAAAGUGAGUAGUGCAAUGUGACAGUUUCUGAGGAGUUUCAACAAAACACAACAAUGUGCAGCAAGGAACAAAUCAACCAUGUGCUCAGUAAGAUCAAUGUGGGUCUGCCAUCGUGGUCGCGCGGCCUGGAGGUGGCCGAGGCUGCACGCACGCGCCUCGUGCGCUGGGCGUGCGGCGACCCGCCGGCGGAGCCCGACCCGCCCCGCAAGAAGAUGCCGCAUGCGUUGCGACGGAGGUGGCCCUUGUGCCCUUGUUUACAGAAUGACGAGCCCCCGGAGAUCACAUACUGCGUGGUGGGGGGUGAAGGCGGGCUGGCUCUCCAGGCUGUCACCCCCACACACCCCAUGCCACCACAGGAUGAACUCGACGCCAAGUUCGCUGAGCUUGUGGAAGAGCUGGACCUGACAGCCGUGAACAAAGCAGCCAUGAUGGCUCUCCCCGCGGCCAAGAAGUGGCAGAUCUACUGCAGCCGGCGGCCUCCACCUGGACAACCUCCACCGCUAGCCACCGCGCCGCAGCUCGAAGAGUACAUCAAGGCUCUUAACGAGAUUGCUGAUGCCUUCGCAUCAUCAGAAAGCAUACCACCAGCAGAAGCGUGCGCCCUAGUCGAAGGCCUCAAAACAGCAUUAAGGACACGAGCACACAGCUUCGUACUCAGGUUCAUCAAGCAAGGAGGCCUAGGCUCCUUGCUAGAUGCCCUUCAGCGAGCGCCAAGGGAUGACGCUUCCACCAGGCAUAACCUCAUUGCGGCUAUUAAAGCGCUCAUGAACAACUCUACGGGGCGCGCGCAUGUGCUGGCUCACCCCACGAGCAUCGAUCUGAUCGCACAGUCCUUAGACACUGACAAUGUUAAGACAAAGGUCGCUGCACUUGAGAUACUGGGAGCCGUUUGUCUUGUACCAGGAGGACAUAAGAAGGUACUAGAAGCGAUGGUCCACUACCAAAAAUACGCGGGCGAGCGUGCCCGCUUCCAAAGCAUUAUGAACGAGUUGGACCGCAGUACCGGCGCCUACAGAGACGACCUUGGCCUGAAGACUGCCAUCAUGUCCUUCGUUAACGCCGUACUUAAUUAUGGACCGGGGGAAGAGAGCUUGGAGUUCAGGCUGCAUUUGAGAUACGAGCUGCUUAUGUUGGGGAUACAACCAGUAAUCGAAAAACUCCGCAAAUACGAAAACGAAACCCUGGACCGUCACAUCGAGUUCUUCGAGAUGGUGCGCAAUGAGGACGAGAGGGAACUAGCAAGGCGGUUCGAUAAGGAACAUGUUGAUACUAAGAGUGCUACUUCCAUGUUUGAGCUGUUGAGGAGGAAACUCAGCCAUACUGGUGCUUACCCACAUCUGCUGUCCAUGUUGGAGCAUCUACUGUUGUUGCCAUUGGAAUACAACCCGAUGUCCCAGCACUGGUUGCUGCUGGACCGCGUAGUGCAGCAGGUGGUGCUGCAGCAGCCCGCCGCCGGCAGCCGCGCCAACUCCGACCAGGGCAGCGAGAGGGGCAGCACUUCCGAUACUACUAAGAUCUAUGACCCGGACGUAGCGCCUCUAGAAAUCAACGUCGGCGAGAUAGUCCAUCUUUUAGCCAAAGAAGAAGAGUUGGUGGCCGCCAGAACUAAAGCUGAGAACUUGGAGAGAGAAAACGUGGAUCUCGCUACCGAACUCGCUAAGAAGGAAAAGCAAGUGGACGAGCAGAGCCAAGAGCGAGAGGAGCUAGAAGGAGUCGUGUCACGCUUCAAGGAACGCCUUGAACGCGAGACUGCGGCGCAUAUGGAGUGCUCAGAGCGAGCCCGUGCCGCCGCCACCAGGGCUCUGCAGCUUGAGCAGCAGCUGAACCAGGAAAGAGUGGAACGAGCAAGGUUUGAGAAACUAGUCAGUGAAGGAAGCAUACCUGAUGACGCCAAGGUCAGCAACCUAAAGAGCGCCGUCAUCGAAACUUGCUCUGUUCCACCGCCUCCCCCUCCUCCCUUGUUAAGCGCCCCACCCGCCCCUCCCGCCCCACCUGCUCCGGCACCCCCACCCGCACCCCUAGCUCCUCUGGCCCCCCUAGCCCCCGCCCCACCUCGAGCAAAGAAGAACGUGCCAACCCCUGGUAAUCCUCUGAAGAGCUUCAACUGGAGUAAACUGCCUGAUACUAAGCUUCACGGUACCAUUUGGCAGGAGCUUGAUGAUACUAAACUGUAUAACGCUAUGGACUUGCAUACUAUUGAUAAAAUGUUCUGCGCCUACCAGAAGAAUGGGGUUCAGAACGAAGGCUCAGUGGAAGACUUGAGGCAGUUGGGCUCGAAGCCCCGCACUAAGAUCCUGACCGUGAUCGACGGCAGACGAGCGCAGAACUGCACCAUCUUACUGUCGAAGCUGAAGAUGACUGACGAGGAAAUAUGCCGAGCGAUCCUCCGCAUGGACAGCGGCGAACAGCUCCCCAUAGACAUGGUGGAACAGCUGGUGAAGUUCACGCCCAGCGCCGAGGAGGCGGCUCUGCUGGAGGAACAUCAGGACGAGCUCGACAGCAUGGCGCGGGCCGACCGCUUCCUCUACGAGAUAUCUAAGAUUCCCCACUAUUCUCAACGCGUUCGUCUGCUACUCUUCAAGAAGAAGUUCAGUGGCGCCGCGGCUGAAGCCACCGCCCGCGCAUGCGUGGUACUGCGAGCGGCUCGGGACAUGCCGCGAUCCCGUCGCUUGAGGGCACUUCUCGAAAUUGUAUUAGCUCUUGGAAACUAUAUGAACAGAGGUGCCAGAGGCAAUGCGUCAGGCUUCCGUCUGACUUCACUGAACAAGUUGGCAGACACAAAGUCUUCUGUGUCAAGGAAUACAACUCUGCUGCAUUAUCUCGUCGAAAUGCUGGAGUCUCAGUUCAAGGACAUCCUUCUGCUCGAAGAAGACCUCCCCCACGUCCGCGCCGCCGCCAAGGUGUGCGUGGAGCAGCUGGAGCGCGACGUGGGCGCGCUGCGCGGCGGCCUGCGCGACGUGGCGCGCGAGCUGGACUACCACGCGGCGCUGCCGGCGCGCCCGCAGCACGACAUGUUCCUGCCCGUCAUGCGCGACUUCCACGCGCAUGCCGUCUGCUCCUUCACGCAGUUGGAGGAUCUGUUCCAUGUUAGUACACGGACUAGCUUCAGCCCGUGACUUCGUCCGCGUGGAAUAGUUACUUUGGGCUAACGCAGACUUUAACUAUAAAAAAGGACAUGAAGAGUCGUCUGGAAGCUUGUGCUCACGCAUUCGGUGAAGAAGCUUCGGCGUCGCCCGAGCAGCUGUUCGGCGCGCUCGACGCCUUCCUCA